UCCAGGGAACUCGAUGGCAGCAAUAUUGCAUUGAUAGGUUUGGUAAGAAAAGAUCAGUUUUUAUAAAGAAGUUACAAUUUACACAGUUUAAUAGGUGAAACAUGAAAGCUCGACUAGUUUAAUACAGUGAUAUGUACACUGCUCUUAAAAUCAUGGUAGUGUAAGUUUUAGAAUUUCUAACAUAAUUUAAAGUUACACUGCACUUAUGUCUCCAUCAUACUUUGUGUAUUUGUAAUACUUGAAGUACAAAAUUUGGAAACAACUAAUGUUUUAUUUUGGGCAGGCUACAUUAACAAAUUACAUUGCUUAUUUGAAGAGAUGUUUAAACACAUUAGAUAACUAAUUUUAGAUCUCUGUUCAAAUUGAAAUUUGAACUUUUCAACAUUGCUUAAAACUUUCAUUUUCCUUGUUUUUUCCCCCAGAUUUCUAUGUCCCCCCUUCUUAGCUUUUCCCCUUCUAAGCGAGAACAAUCUUGUGUUAAUGAAUAGGAAAUAUAUUAUCAGCAAAAUGAUUAUUGAAUCAUAUAGUUUUAGCAUAGAAGGAAUCUUAGAGAACUAUUUUCACCCUUUAUUUUACAAUAUAUUGAGGACCAGAGAUGAUUGUUAAUUGCAUAAUGGAGAAUUGUGUCUCAUCUUGUACCUCAUUGGUCCUUUCAUUAGUCACAUUGCUCGGAUAAGGAGGUGACUGUAUGCAACUAAUAAUGGUUAUAAAACAAAACAAGGGGAUGUGUUUGAGAAUACUUGUUAAUUAGAUAUUAACAAGAAAUUCUGUGACAAUAAUUAAAAACUUAUUUAACUUAACAUGGUGACUUAGUUUUUAGAGUGACUUCCAGUGAAACAAACUCAAAUACAAAAUAUAGACAUUUGAGAUAAUUUCAAAGCAAUGUUGCUUUUGAGUUUUCAGGUUUUCAAAAAGCAAUCUUGAUCCAUACAUUAAAAAAAAAAAAACAGGUAGCUUGAUAAACUUCUUGGGAAGUUUGAAGUAAUUGCCAUUACUACCAGUUAUUAAAUAAGAAAUGAAAUAGAUGCUCAAAACAGUGGUGCUAAUGCCUUUCAUUUUGUAACAGUGUUUUAGUUGGGUAGAUGGAUGUGCCACUCUGCCCCUUGUUAGAAACAGCUUGUUCAGACUAGAUAGUACUACUGCUGAGCAGUAGACAUGUAAGAUCUGUUAGGGAAUUCAACAGGUAGGAAAAUCAACGGGAUCGCACAGUUAUCUUUAACUUCUUUUGAUACCACAUUUUACAAAAACAGGUAAAUUGUCUGGAGGUUUUACAGCUUCUGUGGGUCAUUUAAAGUGCAUCUAAAUUAUUGAUUUUUCUCGGAAAGUUGAUAUAUUUCAUAAUUCUCAACACUAUGUAGGUGAGUGGAUUUAAUUAUACUUUAGUCUUGUGAUAAUAAGGAUUAUUCCCAGAUUAUUUGUAAUUAUAAAAUGAGUCUGUCACCUGCAAACCUUAAACUUUUUGCAGCUUUAAUUUGUCACCCAAGUUAUAAAAGAGGGCAAGUUUUGUUUUGGCUGAAUUGAGACUAUAUUGGGUAACAGGAGGGGAAAAGGAAGACUCCAGGACAGUCACUUGAAGUGGUGGGAUUACCUGCAGUUUAAAAAAUGUAUAGAAACUGGUUGUCAGAGAAGGCAAGUUCAUUUUUCAUCCCAAAUACGUUGUUAGUGUUUACGGUUACUUACUUAGACUCUUCUCAGAAUGUGAUUCUAAAGGAAAACAGGGCAUCUUACUCUUGUGGGAAUGCUUUUCUCAUGGCUGCUUUUCAGGCAGAUCUUAAGGCAGCUGUAGCUUGCACUGAAUGCAGAAAUUGCAAUGCUGACUUAUCUAGCCCUAAUUUUAUAGAAUAUUAGUUUUAGCAGUUCUUUUUUAAAAAGUGGUUUCAAAUCUUUUUACAUGGAUAGUCCUAUAAAAUAAAGCAUGAGAAUGAAGGAUGAAUAUUAUAAUAUUCUGGAUAGUCACAUGAGCUCGGAUUUUUUUUUUCAUUUAUUUGAUAUCGUUAACCCCUCUGGUAGAGAGGAUGUCUGCUUUGUAGAUGGAGAGUCUGUAAAUACUAAACAGAGUUCUGUAGUGCUGACUGAAGGAGUUCUGGAAGUAAUGUCUUCUAAUUCUGGCUUAUUAGGAGGGGAUAGCUGCUUUUAAAAGUGCAAACCAUCCACCCCACUGAAUUGUAAAAGAACUGCUUCUAAUCAAGCCGAUUCUAGUGCUAGCGCACCCUGCUGGUUGGCUGCAGUUAUUUCUCCUCUUCCUCCUCGCAAGAACAAACAUAAAGGUCAGCUGAGACCUAGAAGGGAAACUAAGACUUGGGUCACAUGGAUAGUAAACAGCAGAAGAGCCAAGUGUGAACCGAGGCGUAUCUUGAUUCUACAGAGGAGACCUUUCUGUUCUGCCUUCCUAUCUUUUCUAUGUCUAUCAUUUUAUCCUAUUAUGAAGUUUGUAAGUUUUAUCUCCUACUUAUAAAACUUAGCAUUAUAAAAGCAUUUUUCAGCUCACCCUUAUUUCAAGUGGUGUCUUAUUGCCCACAUUGUUUAUUCAUACCACCAUAUAAAGGUUCUUUGUCUUGGCUACUGGACAUUGGCACAGUGAUAUUGGUCAGAAUGGAAGCUGCUUUUUUUCUUUACUGAGUGACUAAGAUGAAAAAUAAUCUAGUUUAAUUAGAACUAAUACUCUCUGGGAUUAGAAGGUCUACAGCUUUAGUAAUGCUGUCUGUCCUUUCUGGUGAGACAUUUAACUCAAAAUGGAUACAUGUAAAAUGGAGGUGAAAUUUUCAGUUUAUAGCCGUAUGAAAACAACUUAAAAUAUUUUUACAUUUUGAAAUGUCUUAAGCUUCCUUGUUAAAAAUCUUUAAAAAGUGACAUUAAAUAGUUACUUAAAUCCUGUUUAGUUACUGUUAGUAAUUCAUAAUGCAAUAAUCUUUAAUUUAUAAAAGAAGAAAAACUUAGCAUUGAAUUCUUACCUUCUCAUUGGGUGGAUAACACAUAUUAAAAGCUAAUUUGUGGGGCAUUUAUAAAUAGAUUGUAUAGAUUAGCACUGCCCAGUAGAAAUAUAAGCCACAAUGUGAUUUGAAUUUUUCUGUAGCCACAUUAAAAAAUAAAAAGAAAAUAAGUUAAAAUUAAUAUUAUCAAUGCAUUUUGUUUAACCCAAUAUAUCAAAAAUAUUACCAUUUCAGCAUGUACACAUGAUUGCAGUGCUUUACAUUCUUUCUUUUUAUUUUCACACCAAAUCAUCAAAAUCCAGAGUGUGUUAAUGUACUUAAAGCAUAUCUCAGUUUGGACUAGCCAGACUAGUGCUCAGCAGUCACACAUGGUUAUCACAUUUGACAGUGCAGAUAUAGGUCGUAAGUAUGAAGGAUCAAGCAGAAACUGAACAGAGUCUUACAGGAUAGUUGAGGAAAGAUAAGCUGGGGGAGAACAUUGUCAUAAAGAAGGGUGGGAAUUAAGAUGGGAGACACUAGAAACCAGGUAGUAGAGUGCCCUGAAUCCAGUGUGGGGGUGUG